rnacentral:rRNA from 1 species
AUUGAACGCUGGCGGCAGGCCUAACACAUGCAAGUCGAGCGGAUGAGUGGAGCUUGCUCCAUGAUUCAGCGGCGGACGGGUGAGUAAUGCCUAGGAAUCUGCCUGGUAGUGGGGGACAACGUUUCGAAAGGAACGCUAACACCGCAUACGUCCUACGGGAGAAAGUGGGGGAUCUUCGGACCUCACGCUAUCAGAUGAGCCUAGGUCGGAUUAGCUAGUUGGUGAGGUAAAGGCUCACCAAGGCGACGAUCCGUAACUGGUCUGAGAGGAUGGUCAGUCACACUGGAACUGAGACACGGUCCAGACUCCGACGGGAGGCAGCAGUGGGGAAUAUUGGACAAUGGGCGAAAGCCUGAUUCAGCCAUGCCGCGUGUGUGAAGAAGGUCUUCGGAUUGUAAAGCACUUUAAGUUGGGAGGAAGGGCAGUAAGUUAAUACCUUGCUGUUUUGACGUUACCAACAGAAUAAGCACCGGCUAACUUCGUGCCAGCAGCCGCGGUAAAAC